rnacentral:rRNA from 1 species
UGGGAAUUUUGGACAAUGGGCGAAAGCCUGAUCCAGCAAUGCCGCGUGUGUGAAGAAGGCCUUCGGGUUGUAAAGCACUUUUGUCCGGAAAGAAAUCCUUGGCUCUAAUACAGUCGGGGGAUGACGGUACCGGAAGAAUAAGCACCGGCUAACUACGUGCCAGCAGCCGCGGUAAUACGUAGGGCGCAAGCGUUAAUCGGAAUUACUGGGCGUAAAGCGUGCGCAGGCGGUUUGCUAAGACCGAUGUGAAAUCCCCGGGCUCAACCUGGGAACUGCAUUGGUGACUGGCAGGCUAGAGUAUGGCAGAGGGGGGUAGAAUUCCACGUGUAGCAGUGAAAUGCGUAGAGAUGUGGAGGAAUACCGAUGGCGAAGGCAGCCCCCUGGGCCAAUACUGACGCUCAUGCACGAAAGCGUGGGGAGCAAACAGGAUUAGAUACCCUGGUAGUCCACGCCCUAAACGAUGUCAACUAGUUGUUGGGGAUUCAUUUCCUUAGUAACGUAGCUAACGCGUGAAGUUGACCGCCUGGGGAGUACGGUCGCAAGAUUAAAACUCAAAGGAAUUGACGGGGUCAUAGCUGUUUCCU